UACAGAGGUGCCGAGCGUUAGGCGGAAUCACUGGGCUUAAAGCGUGUGUAGGUGGAUCGUUAAGUAUCUUGUGAAAUCCCACGGCUCAACCGUGGAACUGCUGGGUAUACUGGCGAUCUUGAGCAGCUUAGGGGCAGACGGAACAAGUGGUGGAGCGGUGAAAUGCGUAGAUAUCACUUGGAACGCCGACGGUGAAAACAGUCUGCUGGGAGCUUGCUGACGCUGAGACACGAAAGCCAGGGGAGCGAACGGG
rnacentral:rRNA from 1 species